rnacentral:rRNA from 1 species
AGAACGAACGCUGGCGGCAGGCUUAACACAUGCAAGUCGAACGCGUGUAGCAAUACACGAGUGGCGCACGGGUGAGUAACGCGUGGAUAUCUGCCUUUUGGUUCGGAAUAACCCCGGGAAACUGGGGCUAAAUACCGGAUGGUUCCUACGGGAUAAAGAUUUAUCGCCAAAAGAUGAGUCCGCGUCCGAUUAGCUAGUUGGUGGGGUAAUGGCCUACCAAGGCGACGAUCGGUAGCUGGUCUGAGAGGACGAUCAGCCACACUGGGACUGAGACACGGCCCAGACUCCUACGGGAGGCAGCAGUGGGGAAUAUUGGACAAUGGGGGCAACCCUGAUCCAGCCAUGCCGCGUGAGUGAUGAAGGCCUUCGGGUUGUAAAGCUCUUUUGGCGGGGACGAUGAUGACGGUACCCGCAGAAUAAGCCCGGCUAACUUCGUGCCAGCAGCCGC